CAUCAGCCGCGGGAAUACGUAGGUGGCAAGCGUUGUCCGGAAUUAUUGGGCGUAAAGGGCUCGCAGGCGGUUUCUUAAGUCUGCUGUGAAAGCCCCCGGCUCAACCGGGGAGGGUCAUUGGAAACUGGGAAACUUGAGUGCAGAAGAGGAGAGUGGAAUUCCACGUGUAGCGGUGAAAUGCGUAGAGAUGUGGAGGAACACCAGUGGCGAAGGCGACUCUCUGGUCUGUAACUGACGCUGAGGAGCGAAAGCGUGGGGAGCGAACAGGAUUAGAUACCCCAGUAGUCCCUGUCUCUUAUAU
rnacentral:rRNA from 1 species